rnacentral:rRNA from 1 species
GGUGGCGAGUGGCGAACGGGUGAAUAAAGUAUCGGAACUUGCCCAAUCGUGGGGGAUAACGUAUCGAAAGUUACGCUAAUACCGCAUACGAUCUAUGGAUGAAAAGCGGGGGAUCGCAAGACCUCGCGCGAUUGGAGCGGCCGAUAUCAGAUUAGGUAGUUGGUGGGGUAAAGGCUCACCAAGCCGACGAUCUGUAGCUGGUCUGAGAGGACGAUCAGCCACACUGGGACUGAGACACGGCCCAGACUCCUACGGGAGGCAGCAGUGGGGAAUUUUGGACAAUGGGCGAAAGCCUGAUCCAGCCAUGCCGCGUGCAGGAAGAAGGCCUUCGGGUUGUAAACCGCUUUUGUAAGGGACGAAAAGGUUUGGCCUAAUAAGGCGAGCUCAUGACGGUACCGUAAGAAUAAGCACCGGCUAACUACGUGCCAGCAGCCGCGGUAAUACGUAGGGUGCGAGCGUUAAUCGGAAUUACUGGGCGUAAAGCGUGCGCAGGCGGUUAUGUAAGUCAGAUGUGAAAUCCCCGGGCUCAACCUGGGAACUGCAUUAGUGACUGCAUAGCUAGAGUACGGCAGAGGGGGAUGGAAUUCCACGUGUAGCAGUGAAAUGCGUAGAUAUGCGGAGGAACACCGAUGGCGAAGGCAAUCCCCUGGGCCAGACUGACGCUCAGCA